rnacentral:lncRNA from 1 species
AUAAAAAUGAGUAAAUUUUAAAUCUUGCAUAUCCCGAAGAAAGAUUCAGGAUUUAAAUUUUGUACCCCUUUUGUCUACAAAAGACUCAUCAGUUACACUUAAAUCAAAAACGUUUGAAAAAUCUAAAGAUCUGGGGUCCCUCAGUUAAGUCUCUGUGCAUCACGACUUAUUUGUAGAUUCUUCCUAUCAGUUUUGAUGUUCUUUUAAUGUGUUUAUAUAUGGUAAAUUCAGAAGUU